GGGGCUAAACCAUGCACCGAAGCUGCGGCAGCGACACUGUGUGUUGUUGGGUAGGGGAGCGUUCUGUAAGCCUGUGAAGGUGUGCUGUGAGGCAUGCUGGAGGUAUCAGAAGUGCGAAUGCUGACAUAAGUAACGAUAAAGCGGGUGAAAAGCCCGCUCGCCGGAAGACCAAGGGUUCCUGUCCAACGUUAAUCGGGGCAGGGUGAGUCGACCCCUAAGGCGAGGCCGAAAGGCGUAGUCGAUGGGAAACAGGUUAAUAUUCCUGUACUUGGUGUUACUGCGAAGGGGGGACGGAGAAGGCUAUGUUGGCCGGGCGACGGUUGUCCCGGUUUAAGCGUGUAGGCUGGUUUUCCAGGCAAAUCCGGAAAAUCAAGGCUGAGGCGUGAUGACGAGGCACUACGGUGCUGAAGCAACAAAUGCCCUGCUUCCAGGAAAAGCCUCUAAGCAUCAGGUAACAUCAAAUCGUACCCCAAACCGACACAGGUGGUCAGGUAGAGAAUACCAAGGCGCUUGAGAGAACUCGGGUGAAGGAACUAGGCAAAAUGGUGCCGUAACUUCGGGAGAAGGCACGCUGAUAUGUAGGUGAAGUCCCUCGCGGAUGGAGCUGAAAUCAGUCGAAGAUACCAGCUGGCUGCAACUGUUUAUUAAAAACACAGCACUGUGCAAACACGAAAGUGGACGUAUACGGUGUGACGCCUGCCCGGUGCCGGAAGGUUAAUUGAUGGGGUCAGCGCAAGCGAAGCUCUUGAUCGAAGCCCCGGUAAACGGCGGCCGUAACUAUAACGGUCCUAAGGUAGCGAAAUUCCUUGUCGGGUAAGUUCCGACCUGCACGAAUGGCGUAAUGAUGGCCAGGCUGUCUCCACCCGAGACUCAGUGAAAUUGAACUCGCUGUGAAGAUGCAGUGUACCCGCGGCAAGACGGAAAGACCCCGUGAACCUUUACUAUAGCUUGACACUGAACAUUGAGCCUUGAUGUGUAGGAUAGGUGGGAGGCUUUGAAGUGUGGACGCCAGUCUGCAUGGAGCCGACCUUGAAAUACCACCCUUUAAUGUUUGAUGUUCUAACGUGGACCCGUGAUCCGGGUUGCGGACAGUGUCUGGUGGGUAGUUUGACUGGGGCGGUCUCCUCCUAAAGAGUAACGGAGGAGCACGAAGGUUGGCUAAUCCUGGUCGGACAUCAGGAGGUUAGUGCAAUGGCAUAAGCCAGCUUGACUGCGAGCGUGACGGCGCGAGCAGGUGCGAAAGCAGGUCAUAGUGAUCCGGUGGUUCUGAAUGGAAGGGCCAUCGCUCAACGGAUAAAAGGUACUCCGGGGAUAACAGGCUGAUACCGCCCAAGAGUUCAUAUCGACGGCGGUGUUUGGCACCUCGAUGUCGGCUCAUCACAUCCUGGGGCUGAAGUAGGUCCCAAGGGUAUGGCUGUUCGCCAUUUAAAGUGGUACGCGAGCUGGGUUUAGAACGUCGUGAGACAGUUCGGUCCCUAUCUGCCGUGGGCGCUGGAGAACUGAGGGGGGCUGCUCCUAGUACGAGAGGACCGGAGUGGACGCAUCACUGGUGUUCGGGUUGUCAUGCCAAUGGCACUGCCCGGUAGCUAAAUGCGGAAGAGAUAAGUGCUGAAAGCAUCUAAGCACGAAACUUGCCCCGAGAUGAGUUCUCCCUGACCCUUUAAGGGUCCUGAAGGAACGUUGAAGACGACGACGUUGAUAGGCCGGGUGUGUAAGCGCAGCGAUGCGUUGAGCUAACCGGUACUAAUGAACCGUGAGGCUUAACCUUACAACGCCGAAGGUGUUU
rnacentral:rRNA from 1 species